UACGGAGGAUGCGAGCGUUAUCCGGAUUUAUUGGGUUUAAAGGGUGCGCAGGCGGACUGUUAAGUCAGCGGUGAAAUGUCCCGGCUCAACCGGGGAGCUGCCGUUGAUACUGGCAGACUUGAGUCCGAACGGCGCCGGCGGAAUAUGUAAUGUAGCGGUGAAAUGCAUAGAUAUUACAUAGAACACCGAUCGCGAAGGCAGCUGGCGAGGACGCGACUGACGCUGAGGCACGAAGGCGUGGGGAU
rnacentral:rRNA from 1 species